UACAGAGGUCUCAAGCGUUGUUCGGAUUCAUUGGGCGUAAAGGGUGCGUAGGCGGCGCGGUAAGUCGGGUGUGAAAUCUUGGAGCUUAACUCCGAAACUGCAUUCGAUACUGCCGUGCUUGAGGACUGGAGAGGAGACUGGAAUUUACGGUGUAGCGGUGAAAUGCGUAGAUAUCGUAAGGAAGACCAGUGGCGAAGGCGGGGUCUCUGGACAGUUUCCUGACGCUGAGGCA
rnacentral:rRNA from 1 species